AAAGAUGUAGCUCAAUGGUAGAGCACUUGCUUAGGAUGCUCAAGGUCCUAGGUUCAAUCCCUAGCACUGUGA
rfam:Ictidomys tridecemlineatus contig029670, whole genome shotgun sequence.